GCCCAGAUGGCGGAAUUGGUAGACGCGCUAGACUCAAAAUCUUGUUCUCGCAAGGGAGUGCAGGUUCGAUUCCUGUUCUGGGCA
rnacentral:tRNA from 3 species